CCAGCUUAGUGACUGGUGUGUAGGCUCCUCAGAGUUCUCAUUUUCCUAAGACUCUAAAGCCCUUUUAGCUACACCUAAGUGACCUUAGUCAUCCUUUUCUGAGUUCUCAAGCAAUCAAAGAGCAGGAGCUCUAACUAAUUGUUGCCUUGAGAUCCACUCCACCUCUCUCUCCAGUCUUCUUCCAGGACCACCAACCAUGCAGGGAUUCUGCUAUUGUCUGUGGCUUUCAGCUGUCUUUGAAUUAGAAAUAGAAUGAAGACAACAAAUGAUAUGAAGAGAGUGGUUUGUCCAUUUGAGGGCAUUCCUGGACUGUGUUCCUUUCCACAGGGAGGGAGAAGAUCCCAUAGCAGCUUUGCAGUCCCUUACUGAUUUAUGCUCUGGAAGAUAAGACACGCUUUGCAAGAUUCAGCUGACGCAGACCUGCUGUGUCAUAUUACUUUCUUUGUCUUGCUGGAAAGAAGUGCAAAAUACCUAAGGAAACCUCCUUGUGGCCUCCAUUAACCCCAGCUAGCACCUACCAAAUCAGCAAAAUCCGAAAUAUGAUUUAAAUAAAUUAUGCUUAAAGAAAAAAC
rnacentral:lncRNA from 1 species